rnacentral:rRNA from 1 species
GACGAACGCUGGCGGCGUGCCUAACACAUGCAAGUCGAGCGAAGUUAUUCCUUCGGGGAUAACUUAGCGGCGGACGGGUGAGUAACACGUGGGUAACCUGCCUUAUAGAGGGGGAUAGCCUUCCGAAAGGAAGAUUAAUACCGCAUAACAUCAGAUUUUCGCAUGGGGAUUUGAUUAAAGGAGUAAUCCGCUAUAAGAUGGACCCGCGGCGCAUUAGCUAGUUGGUGAGGUAACGGCUCACCAAGGCGACGAUGCGUAGCCGACCUGAGAGGGUGAUCGGCCACAUUGGGACUGGAACACGGCCCAGACUCCUACGGGAGGCAGCAGUGGGGAAUAUUGCACAAUGGGGGAAACCCUGAUGCAGCAACGCCGCGUGAGUGAAGAAGGUUUUCGGAUUGUAAAGCUCUGUCUUCAGGGGCGAACGUAUGGUAGGUGAAUAAUCUACUGUAAUGACGGUACCUGAGGAGGAAGCCACGGCUAACUAC